CAAAGGUUUGGUCCCAGCCUUUCUAUUGGCCACAGGUAAACUUACACAUGCAAGUAUCCGCGCCCCAGUGAGAAUGCCCUCUAAAUCUUACAUGACAAAAAGGAGCAGGUAUCAAGCACACUACACAAAGUAGCUCAAGACACCUUGCUUAACCACACCCCCACGGGAUACAGCAGUGAUAAAAUUUAAGCUAUGAACGAAAGUUUGACUAAGUUAUACCACAUUAAGGGUUGGUAAAUUUCGUGCCAGCCACCGCGGUCAUACGAUUAACCCAAGUCAAUAGACCAACGGCGUAAAAAGUGUUUAAGAGAUAAUAAAAAUAAAGUUAAACCUUAGCUAAGCCGUAAAAAGCCCUAGCUACUGUAAAAUAAACCACGAAAGUGACUUUAACCUAUCUGAUACACACGAGAGCUAAGAUCCAAACUGGGAUUAGAUACCCCACUAUGCCUAGCCCUAAACCCAAAUAAUUUUACUAACAAAACUACUUGCCAGAGUACUACUAGCCAAAGCUUAAAACUCAAAGGACUUGGCGGUGCUUCACAUCCACCUAGAGGAGCCUGUUCUAUAAUCGAUAAACCCCGAUAAACCUCACCAACCCUUGCUAAGCCAGCAUAUAUACCGCCAUCUUCAGCAAACCCUAAAAAGGAGAAGCAGUAGCAAAAUCAUUAAAACAUAAAAACGUUAGGUCAAGGUGUAGCCAAUGAGUUGGGAAGCAAUGGGCUACAUUUUCUAAUAUAGAAUAACCAUAUACAACGAAAGUUAUUGUGAAAUCAAUAACCAAAGGAGGAUUUAGCAGUAAAUCAAGAAUAGAGAGCUUGAUUGAAUAAGGCCAUGAAGUACGGCACACACCGCCCGUCACCCUCCUCAAAUAACCCAAGGCCCCUGCUAAUUAUAUUAAAAAGGCCUACAUUUAUAAGAGGAGAUAAGUCGUAACAAGGUAAGCGUACUGGAAAGUGCGCUUGGAUAACA
rnacentral:ncRNA from 1 species